GGCGUGCUUAACACAUGCAAGUCGAACGGAAAGGCCCUGCUUUUGUGGGGUGCUCGAGUGGCGAACGGGUGAGUAACACGUGAGUAACCUGCCCUUGACUUUGGGAUAACUUCAGGAAACUGGGGCUAAUACCGGAUAGGAGCUCCUGCUGCAUGGUGGGGGUUGGAAACUUUCGGCGGUUGGGGAUGGACUCGCGGCUUAUCAGCUUGUUGGUGGGGUAGUGGCUUACCAAGGCUUUGACGGGUAGCCGGCCUGAGAGGGUGACCGGCCACAUUGGGACUGAGAUACGGCCCAGACUCCUACGGGAGGCAGCAGGUGGGAAUAUUGCACAAUGGGCGGAAGCCUGAUGCAGCAACGCCGCGUGCGGGAUGACGGCCUCGGGUUGUAAACCGCUUUCGCCUGUGACGAAGCGUGAGUGACGGUAAUGGGUAAAGAAGCACCGGCUAACUACGUGCCAGCAGCCGCGGUGAUACGUAGGUGCGAGCGUUGUCCGGAUUAUUGGGCGUAAAGGGCGUCGUAGGUGGUUGAUCGCGUCGGAAGUGUAAUCUGGGGUACCG
rnacentral:rRNA from 1 species